rnacentral:rRNA from 1 species
GACGAACGCUGGCGGCGUGCUUAACACAUGCAAGUCGAACGGAAAGGCCCUGCUUUUGUGGGGUGCUCGAGUGGCGAACGGGUGAGUAACACGUGAGUGACCUGCCCUUGACUUUGGGAUAACUUCAGGAAACUGGGGCUAAUACCGGAUAGGAGCUCCUGCUGCAUGGUGGGGGGUGGAAAGUUUCGGCGGUUGGGGAUGGACUGGCGGCUUAUCAGCUUGUUGGUGGGGUAGUGGCUUACCAAGGCUUUGAGGGGUAGCCGGCCUGAGAGGGUGACCGGCAACAUGGGGACGGAGAUACGGCCCAGACUCCUACGGGGGGCAGCAGUGGGGAAUAUUGCACAAUGGGCGGAAGCCGGAUGCAGCAACGCCGCGUGCGGGAUGACGGCCUUCGGGUUGUAAACCGCUUUCGCCUGUGACGAAGCGUGAGUGACGGUAAUGGGUAAAGAAGCACCGGCUAACUACGUG